AAGUCGUAACAAGGUUUCCGUAGGUGAACCUGCGGAAGGAUCAUUAACAAAUUUUCCCAACCAAAAACGUUUGUGAACUGUUACCAAGUCCAUGGUGUGCCCCGUCCUGAGUGCACUCUAGCUGACCAGCAUUAGCUGCCGGCUUGAGCUGGGCUCAGGCGGACCAUCAUGUUUAUUUACGUCUGAUUUACCACUGAACUGAGACUUUAUUUUAAAUAAAGACAACUUUUAGCAACGGAUCUCUAGGCUCUC
rnacentral:misc_RNA from 1 species